rnacentral:rRNA from 1 species
UUGCACCGAAAAUGUAACGGGGCUAAAGCACAUUACCGAAGCUGCGGGUAUCAAAAAAUAUUUAUUUUUUGGUACGGUAGAGGAGCAUUCUGUUAAGGCUGAAGGUUAUUCGUAAGGAUAGCUGGACAUAACAGAAGAGACCAUGCUGACAUGAGUAACGAUAAAGCGGGUAAGAAACCCGCUCGCCGUAAACCUAAGGUUUCCUUGAGUAAAGCUAAUCUGCUCAGGGUUAGUCGAUCCCUAAGCCGAGGCCGAAAGGCGUAGGCGAUGGAAAACAGGUUAAUAUUCCUGUACCACCAUCUUAUCAUUAUAAAGCGAUGGGGUGACACAGGAGGGUAGGUCAUCCGUCUGUUGGAAUAGACGGUUUAAGCCCGUAGGCGGAAAGAACAGGUAAAACUGUUCUUUUUUUAACGCUGAGAGG